GAACUCGACAAAAUGCCCCCGUAACUUCGGGAGAAGGGGGACCAGUCCUGGUGACGACAUUUACUGUCUGAGCUGGGGUUGGUCGCAGAGACCAGAGAGAAGCGACUGUUUACUAAAAACACAGGUCCGUGCGAAGUCGUAAGACGAUGUAUACGGACUGACGCCUGCCCGGUGCUGGAAGGUUAAGAGGACCGGUCAGCCACUUCGGUGGCGAAGCUGAGAAUUUAAGCCCCAGUAAACGGCGGUGGUAACUAUAACCAUCCUAAGGUAGCGAAAUUCCUUGUCGGGUAAGUUCCGACCUGCACGAAUGGCGUAACGACUUCUCUGCUGUCUCAACCACAGACUCGGCGAAAUUGCAGUACGAGUAAAGAUGCUCGUUACGCGCGGCAGGACGAAAAGACCCCGGGACCUUCACUAUAGCUUGGUAUUGGUGUUCGGUUCGGUUUGUGUAGGAUAGGUGGGAGACUGUGAAACUCGCACGCCAGUGUGGGUGGAGUCAUUGUUGAAAUACCACUCUGACCGUAUUGGACAUCUAACCUCGGACCAUGAUCUGGUUCAGGGACAGUGCCUGGUGGGUAGUUUAACUGGGGCGGUUGCCUCCCAAAAAGUAACGGAGGCGCCCAAAGGUUCCCUCAGCCUGGUUGGCAAUCAGGUGUUGAGUGUAAGUGCACAAGGGAGCUUGACUGUGAGACGUACAUGUCGAGCAGGGACGAAAGUCGGGACUAGUGAUCCGGCACCGGCAAGUGGAAGCGGUGUCGCUCAACGGAUAAAAGGUACCCCGGGGAUAACAGGCUGAUCUUCCCCAAGAGUCCAUAUCGACGGGAUGGUUUGGCACCUCGAUGUCGGCUCGUCGCAUCCUGGGGCUGGAGUAGGUCCCAAGGGUUGGGCUGUUCGCCCAUUAAAGCGGCACGCGAGCUGGGUUUAGAACGUCGUGAGACAGUUAGGUCUCUAUCCGCCGCGCGCGUAAGAAACUUGAGGAAACCUGUCCCUAGUACGAGAGGACCGGGACGGACGAACCUCUGGUGUGCCAGUUGUUCCACCAGGAGCACCGCUGGUUAGCUACGUUCGGAAGGGAUAACCGCUGAAAGCAUCUAAGCGGGAAGCCUGUUCCAAGAUGAGGUUUCUCACCACCUAGCGUGGUUAAGGCCCCCCACAGACCAUGGGGUUGAUAGGCCAGAACUGUAAGCACAGCAAUGUGUUCAGGUGACUGGUACUAAUCGGCCGAGGACUU
rnacentral:rRNA from 1 species